GAAAUGCGAUACUUGGUGUGAAUUGCAGAAUCCCGUGAACCAUCGAGUUUUUGAACGCAAGUUGCGCCCGAAGCCACUAGGCCGAGGGCACGUCUGCCUGGGCGUCACACGUCGUUGCCCCUCCCAACCCCUCCGGGAGUUGGCUGGGACGGAUGAUGGCCUCCCGUGUGCUCCGUCGCGCGGUUGGCAUAAAUAACGAGUCAUCGGCGGCCAACGCCGCGACAAUCGGUGGUUGUCAAACCUCGUGUCCUGUCGCGCGCGCGUCGUCCUUGGCUCUUCCCAUCUGAUGCGCGUCGGUUCGCCGGCGCUUUCAACGCGACCCCAGGUCAGGCGGGGUUACCCGCUGAAUUUAA
rnacentral:misc_RNA from 1 species